CUUCUGAUAGGUCAUGAGGAGGAGUGACUUGGGUUGUGCCAAGACCUUAAAUGGGAGACUGGUGUAAAUGGCAGAUAGCCAGCAGUGGGGAGACAUCUGGGAUAAGACAAGGCGCUAAGCAUUUGUGCAACAGGGCUGUGUGGCAUUUUCCUUUGAAGUACUAGUGAAGUCAGAGUGGAUCCUUGUGAUGGAGCUGCAAGCUGGCUGCCAGCUUAGUAAAACACCAUCUAAGAACACCCCACCCCAGCUGUUUAAGAAAGUGCUGUUUCCUCUUAGAGAAAAAUGAACAUGCGAACAACUAAAUAUCCUUAAACCAAGAUGACUUAUGCAAAC